GAUCUGGCGGGGUGCCUCAUCGGGAGGGGCUGCCAGAAGUCAGCAGAGGCCAUAGUAGGUGGGAACACUGAAGGGC
rfam:Betaproteobacteria bacterium RIFCSPLOWO2_02_FTLL_67_19 rifcsplowo2_02_scaffold_17150, whole genome shotgun sequence.